UCCGCAACUUUACCUCAAACCCUAACUUCAUCUCGAAUCCAACUUCACCUCUAACCCUAACUUCAUCUCAAACUCCGAUCGAUAUCUCAAGGAACCCAACUUCACCUCAAUCUCCGAUACCAAACCCUAGCUUCAACUACGCCGAUUUACAUCUUAACUCAAAUUCAGUUGAAACAUAGGCAUGUGAAGCUCACUGGGACAAAUAAGAGACAGAUCUAGCUAUUGAACAUCAUUUCUCAGAAAAUAUGAGAGUUUCCAAAGGAAUUGAAGCAUGGUGUUCUGGUAAAACUGAAGAAGACGAAGACAACUAUCCCAUCUUGGCAGUGGAACUGAUAUCUACAAGAUGCUUGUGAAGUACCUACAAUAUCACUCUUAGUCAUCAUUACUCAAUGCUUUUUUCAAUAUUGCAUCUGGUAGCAGAAGUAAAGAGUUUACAUCUUUUGAUGUCUUCCACAUCUCCAAGAUAAUACAACAAACUUGAAUCCAAAAGUUUCUGACGGCAAACGAGAAUUUUUGGAUAUCUUAUUAUUCCAAGUACUUUCAGCAUUCUAUAGAGAAAU